rnacentral:tRNA from 2 species
GGCGACGUACCCAAGUGGCUUAAGGGGACGCUCUGCAAAAGCGUUAUUCAUCGGUUCGAAUCCGAUCGUCGCCUCCA